UACGGGGGGGGCAAGCGUUGUUCGGAAUUACUGGGCGUAAAGGGCGCGUAGGCGGCCUGCUAAGUCGGAUGUGAAAUCCCUCGGCUCAACCGAGGAACUGCAUCCGAUACUGGCGGGCUUGAAUCCGGGAGAGGGAUGUGGAAUUCCAGGUGUAGAGGUGAAAUGCGUAGAUAUCUGGAGGAAUACCGGUGGCGAAGGCGGCAUCCUGGACCGACAUUGACGCUGAGGAGCGAAAGCUAGGGGAGCAAACGGG
rnacentral:rRNA from 1 species